CUUCUGGGGAGGAACCGAAAGGAGGACAACCGGUCUCCACGCGGGCUCCCUCCCAAGAGCCCUUGGACACCUAUCGGACCUCAGCGGGGGCGGCGGCAGCGGCUUGCAGAACUCUCUGACUCUGCGCAGCCGCAAAGACCCGGCUACCCCGCCCAGGCCUCAACGCCCCAGAACUGCCCUUGACACAUCGCAGGGACUGGGUUGCUGCUCCCGCUCUGUGCAGAUUCCGGACUGUCCGAUCGAGGCUGCGCCCAGCUGGAGGCCCCGAGUCCUCUCCCCUACGGGGAGAAAGCCAGGAAAUGAAGACUACUGAAAGGAGCUGGAAUUGCUCAUGCGCAGAAGUAUCCCCACAACCCACUCUGGAACUGCGCUUUUGCGAAGCCUCGGUUGCGACUCCAUUUUGGAUGAGGUUCGGCAUCUAGCGACCUGCGUGUUUGUUGCUGGGAUUUCUAGGAGCUCUGUUCCUUUGUUUCGUUACUCAUACUGAUGGCUGAUUAGAACUGGCAACCUGCAAUCUGGAGGCUUGAAAACAAAACUACAGUGAGGUGGUGCGAUGAAUAUUGAUGAGGACCGUGGUGAUAUGAGUUAUGUCCCUGCGAGGCUUCCAGUGCAUCCCGACCAAGACGCAUUCUUUUUUAUUUAAGAACAGAUAUGGUGAGAGUUUCAUAAAUCCCUGGUGGGUACGGACAGCUCUUCCCCCCUUCUCAGCUUGAAGCAGAUACAGAAGAAGAGACCUCCCAUCUCUCAAUUCCCCACAGAGAUUUAUGGGGAUUAUGUCUCUCAGAAAAAAUAAGGCAGGCAGUUAGAAACAGAUGCCAAGAACCUGGACACCACGGCAAGGAGGGCUCAACCCCCAGCAGAGGCUAGGAUUCCCAGUUUUCCUCCCUGAGGCCCCGGUUCGACCCCCAGUGUGGAAAGCUAGCCAGACUCCACUGGAUUUGAAACUCGGUGUGAGAGCCAAGCCUGGACAUCUCGCCGGUGGAGGAGGAGACCAUAAGAACAUAGAGCUUUGAAGCUCUCUUCACAGAAAUUGACUUUGUUUGGAACAGAGUGGGGAGAAGUAUAAACCUAAGGAAACUGUUGAAAACAACAGAAAUCUUGGAUGUUGUCAAUUAAGGGGAGGAUACUAGUAACUCCAUGGGAGAAACAAGUUAAACAAUAGACCAGCUGGAAGUUUAUCAGAGAAAACCAAGCAAAGAGAUUGCUGUGAAAAAUGCUCCUAAAAUCAGAAUGAAUCUGAAAGGCUGGCCUCAAAGAUUACAGCUGUAAAGUGGCCUAAAUUUAAUUGGAUCACUGAAGAGCAAUUUUUGCACCAGAGCACUGUGGAAAACAAUAACUCCAUCAGCUAGAAAUUAGUAACAACUAACCAACAGAGGCAGACAAUAAGGAGAUUGGGGGAAAGACAGUCAAAGAUAACCUUGCUAGAAACAUUUUAUUCUAGAGUAGCUGUAUAUGCCCAAGGCUGCACCAUCUGAGGAACAUCUGAAGCUGAACACCGCAGGGGAAAUGAACUUCACAAUAAUAGCCCAAACUAAGCAAACAUGUCACUAAACAAACAAGCAAAAAACAAUAAUAUAUGCUGGUUACGGGGUCAUAUCCACAGUGGCUACAAUGUAUUAUCUAAAAUAUUCAGUUUUCAACCUGAAACAAAAAUUAUGAGGUGCAAAAAACCCCCAGGAAAUUGUGACCAUACAUGAGAAAAAAAUUCAGACAACAGAAACUGCCUUUGGAGGCUCAGAUGUCAGAUUAACUAAAACUUUAAAGCAGCUAUAAUAAAUGUGCACAAAGAACUAAAGGAAGUCAUAUCUAAAAAGUAAGGGAAGGUACAAUGACAAUAUCUCAUCAAAUAGAGGAUAUCAGUAAAGAGAUAGAAAAGAACCAAAUAGGAAUUCUGAAGUCCUAAAGUACAUUAACUAGAGUGAAAAAUUCAAUAAAAGGGUUCAAUAGUAGAUUUGAUCUGGCAAAAGAACCAGCAAACUUGAAGAUAGCUUGAUAUAGAUUAAGCAAUCUAAGGAAAAGAGAAAAAAAGAAUGAAGAAAAAUAAAUAGAGCCUUAGUGAAAUAUGGGACAUCAUUAAACACACCAGCAUACCUUUUAACAAAAGUACCAGAAUGAAACAGGGAAGGAGAAAAAACAAUUCAAAGAAAUAUGGCUGUAAACUUCCCAAAUUUAGUAAAAACCUUAACCUACACAUUUGAGAUACUCAAUGAACUCCAAGUGGGAUAAACAUAAAUGAUCCACACCCAGACAUAUUACAGUAAAAAAUGUUGAAAAACAAAGAUGAGGACAAAAUCUUAAGAGCACCAAGAGAAAAAUGACUCAUCAUAUACAAGGGAGCCUCAAUAAGAUUUCUCUUCAGAAACAAUAGAGAUCAGAAGGUAGGGGCAUGACAUAUCCAAAUCGCUGAAAUGAAAAAAAAUACCAGGAAAAUUGUGAAAAUCCAAGAGAAUUCCACCCAUACUGGUGAGACAGAAGGCGGCUGGAAAACCCGGAUGUCUGGUAUAGGGCCAACAUACAGACUAACUUGGUUUGAAGAACUCAGCUGGGAUCCAGCAGAAGAGCAGCAACUCAAAAGGUGCCAGAGACAUACAGGAAAAGACUGAUUUGUGUGGCUUCAGAACAAGAGCUAAAGGGACAGCUGCCAUUUAUCCCUUUGUGGAGUUGAAUCCUCCCCCAUGGCCAAAUCGGAGACCACAUUGGCUUAUGAACUCUGGGUGCAUCCCACCUAGGUGACUCCCUGAGACUCCACCCCACUAUCUAUCUUACGCAGCAUCGAUGGGGGCACUCUCGGCUCCUGAGCAGCAAGCGCCAGCCACCCUGCAAGCUGCGGGAGGCUUUUUUUUUUUUAAGAUUUUAUUGGGGAAUUGGGGGAAGGGGA